GAGCUCAUGCACACUCUAUCAGCAAUUAGCACAGCCAAAAGUUGCACUCAGGAGAGCAUUAUUUACAAGUUUAUUCAGCGUUGAUCAGAACACAGAAAAACAUGACUGCCUGCUGAUUUAGUGUCUGCGACACCAGAGAGAAAACGAAAGCAACAGAAAACAUAAACAUCCUGUGAACAGGAAAUACGCAGACUCUGACUCACAAAGCCUGCUCCCUUUUAAGGUGGAACGGAAAUAUCCUAACAAAAUGUUGGACGGAAGUGAAAAAAGAUUUAGAAAUUUGGUCAAAUUUGAAGCUUUCACUGUUGGGUCGUAUUGCUGUGAUAAAAAUGAAUGUAUUGCCUAGAAUGCUGUUUUUGUUUCAAACAUUGCAAAUUGUGGACAAGAUGGAUUGUUUCAAGAAGUGGCAGAGAGAUAUUUCUAGAUUUGUCUGGCAGGGCAAGAAGCCCAGAAUAAAAUUUAAGAUAUUAACCGAUGCAAAG